GAUGAAGAACGUAGCGAAAUGCGAUAAGUAAUGUGAAUUGCAGAAUUCAGUGAAUCAUCGAAUGUUUGAACGCACAUUGCGCCCUUUGGUAUUCCUUAGGGCAUGCCUGUUCGAGCGUCAUUUAAACCUUCAAGCUAAGCUUGGUGUUGGGUGACUGUCCGCUUCACUGCGGACUCGCCUCAAAAUUAUUGGCGGCCGGUACAUUGGCUUCGAGCGCAGCAGAAACGCGAACUCGGGCCCGUCGUAUUGGCUCCCAGAAGCUAUCUUCACAAUUUUGACCUCGGAUCAGGUAGGGAUACCCGCUGAACUUAAGCAUAUCAAUAAGCGGAGGA
rnacentral:misc_RNA from 1 species